rnacentral:rRNA from 1 species
GACCUCAGAGCAGGCGAGACU